CAAAGUAAAGCUUAAAUAGCAUUUCACUUACAUUGAAAAAGAUUACUGUUAAAAGUCAGUUUGCUUUGA
rnacentral:tRNA from 1 species